GUUUAGUCUCUGCGUUGCUUGGCGAUUAUCAAAGCUUUUGACUUUUCCGAGAUGAAAUACCAACUGAGUCACUUCAGAAACAUCCCUCUCUCCAUCCUAAAUUUGGUGCUUCUCUUUCUAUGAGGCACGUGUGUAAAUGAAUAGCUGUCAGCUGCAUGAAAGUGCUGGAUAUGGUGAUCCAGACCAAUGGCUCAAAGGUUGUGCAGGGGGAUUAAGGGCAUGGAACCCGUCCAGCUCACCCCAUCCAUCCCUCUUACAGCCGGGGCCCCUGUGCACACAACAUAUCCAUCCACAGCACAUUCAGCGUGAGCUUUCAGGUGUUGGAGAGGAAGGGUUGUUGCUGAGCCCUUUGCCCCGGACCACACGUCAUCAGUGAAGAGAUAUCGUUGCUAUG